UCAUCUUUUUUAAGUAAGAGUAUUGAUUGGGAUCAGCUACUGUAGCAAUAUGCAAUUUUGUACACCCUACAUGGCUUCUUCUCUCUCUCUCUUUUUUUUUUUAAUUAAUCGAAACGCACCGUUUUCGAUGCUGUUUUCAAUUUACCCAUUUCGAAUUGAAGCUCCCUCCGCGUCGAAUUCAUUCCAGCCCGCGUCCAUUUCUCCUCCCCACCCGCGUCAAAUCUCUGUUGUCCACCGCCACCAGCGACCCUGACAUCGAGCCCGUCUGCACAACGCCGACCUACCCGUGUCUACCAGCUCGCCUCCCUCCCUCUCGGCCGCCCAUCUCCGUUUGUUUCUCCUUCGCGGUGUAGCUUUCCUCUCCGCAUCUUACUGGGCAUUUAAGGUUGAUUUUGGGACAGCUCUCCUCCACAGUUGCUGUGAAGCUCUCUGUCUUCCUUGCUUCAGAAUCAACAAGCUGAUUUCAAAAUCUACAUUUGUAGCAACAGUGUCGGAUCACUUUCUUCGUUUGGUAUGAUGGGGGAAGAGGAAGAUGGAAUGGCACCCAAACCUUCGACGUCGACUUCGCAGUCAUUAAUGACAUCCCAAAAUACAUUUGGAGAUCCAAAUGAUGUCCCAGAUGUGAGUGUGCAUUUUGAUGUCUUUUAUUGUUUUAAAAAAGAACAUCUGAGACGUGCUCAUUACUAUAAAUUAUUCCAAUUUUGCAGCAUAAUUUGGAUGUAAAUAUUUUGUACCCUCUGAAUUCGAGUAAUCCGAAGUACUUCCAGCAAGAA